UACAGAGGGAGCUAGCGUUUUUCGGAUUUAUUGGGCGUAAAGAGCGCGUAGGCGGUUUGCCAAGUUGAUAGUGAAAGCCCGGAGCUUAACUCCGUGGAUGUAUAUCAAAACUGGCAGACUAGAGUUCGGUAGGGGAUGAUGGAAUUCUUGGUGUAGGGGUGAAAUUCUUAGAUAUCAGGAAGAACACCGGUGGCGAAGGCGAUCAUCUGGGCCGUAACUGACGCUAAUAGCGCGAAAGCGUGGGGAGCAA
rnacentral:rRNA from 1 species